AGUGAACGCUGGCGGCAGGCCUAACACAUGCAAGUCGAACGGCAGCACAGGAGAGCUUGCUCUCUGGGUGGCGAGUGGCGGACGGGUGAGGAAUAUAUCGGAAUCUACCCUUUCGUGGGGGAUAACGUAGGGAAACUUACGCUAAUACCGCAUACGAACUGAGGUUGAAAGCGGCGGACCGCAAGGCGUCGCGCGGAUGGAUGAGCCGAUAUCCGAUUAGCUAGUUGGCGGGGUAAAGGCCCACCAAGGCGACGAUCGGUAGCUGGUCUGAGAGGAUGAUCAGCCACACUGGAACUGAGACACGGUCCAGACUCCUACAGGAGGCAGCAGUGGGGAAUAUUGGACAAUGGGCGCAAGCCUGAUCCAGCCAUGCCGCGUGUGUGAAGAAGGCCUUCGGGUUGUAAAGCACUUUUGUUGGGAAAGAAAAGCGGUCGGUUAAUACCCGGUCGUUCUGACGGUACCCAAAGAAUAAGCACCGGCUAACUUCGUGCCAGCAGCCGCCGUAAGAC
rnacentral:rRNA from 1 species